UCCUUCUUAGCUCAGUUGGUAGAGCGCGUCACUAGUAAUGACGAGGUCACUCGUUCGAGUCGGCUAGAAGGAA
rnacentral:tRNA from 1 species